rnacentral:misc_RNA from 1 species
GGAUUCUUUUCCCUCCGAUUCUGGGAGAAGAUCGGAAGUGGGAUCAAAGCAAGAUCUCGCUCGUAACAUUAAUGAUGAUGAGCGACAACGUCCAUAUGACGAAAGCGAUAGUACAUGGGCAAGUCAAAAUCCAGCAGGCAGUUUUCGACCCUCAUUCGCGAAUAACCAGGGAUCAAGAGGGCCGAGACCCGGAAGAGGCGGAAGGAU